GAUGAACGCUAGCGGCAGGCUUAAUACAUGCAAGUCGUGGGGCAGCACAGGUAGCAAUACUGGGUGGCGACCGGCAAACGGGUGCGGAACACGUACGCAACCUUCCUUCAAGUGGGGAAUAGCCCAGAGAAAUUUGGAUUAAUACCCCGUAAUAUUAUGAGAUGGCAUCAUUUUAUAAUUAUAGCUUCGGCGCUUGAAGAUGGGCGUGCGCCUGAUUAGGUAGUUGGCGGGGUAACGGCCCACCAAGCCUUCGAUCAGUAACUGGUGUGAGAGCACGACCAGUCACACGGGCACUGAGACACGGGCCCGACUCCUACGGGAGGCAGCAGUAAGGAAUAUUGGUCAAUGGACGCAAGUCUGAACCAGCCAUGCCGCGUGGAGGAUGAAGGCCCUCUGGGUUGUAAACUUCUUUUAUCUGGGAAGAAAUCCAUUUUUUCUAAAGUGGUUGACGGUACCAGUUGAAUAAGCACCGGCUAACUCCGUGCCAGCAGCCGCGGUAAUACGGAGGGUGCAAGCGUUAUCCGGAUUCACUGGGUUUAAAGGGUGCGUAGGUGGGCAGGUAAGUCAGUGGUGAAAUCUCCGGGCUUAACCCGGAAACUGCCGUUGAUACUAUCUGUCUUGAAUAUCGUGGAGGUGAGCGGAAUAUGUCAUGUAGCGGUGAAAUGCACAGAUAUGACAUAGAACACCAAUUGCGAAGGCAGCUCGCUACACGGUUAUUGACACUGAGGCACGAAAGCGUGGGGAUCAAACAGGAUUAGAUACCCUGGUAGUCCACGCCCUAAACGAUGGAUACUCGACAUACGCGAUACACAGUGUGUGUCUGAGCGAAAGCAUUAAGUAUCCCACCUGGGAAGUACGACCGCAAGGUUG
rnacentral:rRNA from 1 species